ensembl:lncRNA
AAGACAACGGCACGAAGUCGUCAGGUCGUUUUAUUUCUUUUGUUUUAUUUGCGUAUUAAAAAAAGAAAAAAAAAUCCUAAUAAAGAGAACAGAGGGGAGGGGGAAAAGUUUUGAAACUCUUCCCAGCUGUUCCAUAUGGUGGGUGAAGGCUGAAUUUCACGCACGAUGUCUGUGUGCCCUGUGGUGAUGCUGCUACUGCAUCUAUCGGCGAGGAUUACCCCAUCUCCCGAUCGCGUUCUUUAAUGCCAAACCAAAAGAUGAGGGAAUUCCCCACGUCAUUCUCCCCGGCCAAAGAGGUCUGCAGGAAAUCUGAAUUUCUCGCAGAGCCUCUGCUUUUAUUCCUUGCUUUUGGUCCUUUUUGGGCACACUCAAAAGCACAUGCAAGCCCUCCCCUAUAUUAACCGGGAGGUGUUAUUUUAUCGGCGCGGUGUGAAAAAUAUCAGGCUUAUAGCACCCAGUUAAUUACUCUCAAAACUCAUGCGUUUUGGGAAGGAACUCGAGGCCAAAUCCCUAUGAGCUGCUCCUCGUGUGCGUAAUCCCGUCUCCUGCAAAAGCCCUAUUGAUGGCGGCCGCCAGCAUCCAGCCCAACGCGGGACGCCGAGGACGGGCGUUCAUCCAGCACGACAAGGGCUGCUGGAAGAGAUCCCCGCCGGGUACAGCUCCAUCUGCCUCCAACACUGCCUGGGCUCCAUGGACAGACACCACUAUCACCUCGCGAGAGGAGCAGAGGAGUUUACCAACAUACCCUAUUACAUCCUGACGCCAUCAGGCUAACUCUGCCAGCUGCUGCAGCACUCCGAACACAUAAGAUUUGCUCCCAUUUCCCUGGUGCACAGUGAUUCUGGGAAGAGGAAAUGGAAGAUCUGCCCAUUGCCAGCAAAGCGGGAUGUGGCUUUGUGAACAUCACUGGUUUGGCCUCGUGCCUCAGUUUCCCCAGUGUGUGCGGAGAGACUUUUGCCUUUCCAGCAGCACCGUAAUAAGCGAAACAAGUAUAAUAAUAACAUUUACCACUAAUAGCUUUUACGACUAAUAAUUUUGCAGUCCUUAAUGGAAGCAUCUCUAUGGUGAUUCUGCAGGAUUAGGGCAUCCCUUUUGCCCCAAGCAGCCCCUAAGGACGAAGCAACGCCAAGAUCCAGCCGAAAGAACAUGACCAAAGUCAGAGUACAGAGUACAGAAGAGCCAGAAAGUGAGCAGAAGUCAGAGGCUAGCAUGGAAACUGCUACACCAUCUGUCCUCUCUGCUUGCUCGAAAGACUCUUCGCAAUUAGGGCAUAACUGAGUAUACGACAUUGUUUUCCUGCACUGUAUUCAAGCUCCAUUCUCACUCGUUAUAAUGAGCUCAUUAUUGAUUUGUGGAGCUUCCCCUUUGAGCUUCUGUGCCUUUCAAAACACGUAGCCAACGUUCAGGCAAUAAAACGGAUACUCAUGGCAUGCUGUAUAUGUGUCGCAGUGCCUGUCGUAUGUUGUGAUACAUGGGAUAGCCAUCUUCUGCCACUAUUUACAGGUUUGCACUGCUUAACUUGCUCCAAGCAGCGAGAGCCACUCCUGGUGGGCAGCCUCCCUGCCUUGACUGCGGCCAAGAAGUGGGAAUUUAAAGGCAGCAUGACUGAAGACUCACAGAAACCAGCUGCUCCUCAACUUUCAGCCUCUCCCUCUUCCCCCCCUCCCUUUUCCCGAGGCUCUCAUUGCAAGCUGGUCAUGUUCCUGCAUACCGCAGGUCACUGUCUUCCCACAGCCCCCGGAGCCGCAACCUGCUGCGGCCGCAGUGCCAGGGCAGCGCAUUCCCUCUGAGCGAGAGCUCUUUGUGCCUUGCAGUUGAUUUUUUAACAUUUUCCUAAAGCAACCAGGCUUGACACAUUCUCAUUUUGCCAUCCCGACGGAGGCCGCCAGUUCUAUAAGCAUCCAACUUAAAUUCACCGAGCAUCCGCUUUUUCCCUACUGCUCUUUCCGAGGCGGUGGUGAGGAAUUGGGAAGUGUAGCAGCUACAUUUUAAAAAUGAACUACUGAGCAG